rnacentral:misc_RNA from 1 species
GUGUGAGUGGAUGAGUGAGUGUGUGUGAGUGGAUGAGUGUCUGUGAGUGGAUGAGUGUGUGUGAGUGGAGGAGUGUGUGUGAGUGGAGGAGUGUGUGUGAGUGGAUGAGUGUCUGUGAGUGAAUGAGUGUGUGUGAGUGGAUGAGUGUGUGUGAGUGGAUGAGUGUGUGUGAGUGGAUGAGUGUCUGUGAGUGGAUGAGUGUGUGAGUGUGUGUGAGUGGAUGAGUGUCUGUGAGUGGAUGAGUGUCUGUGAGUGGAUGAGUGUGUGUGAGUGGAGGAGUGUGUGUGAGUGGAUGAGUGUCUGUGAGUGAAUGAGUGUGUGUGAGUGGAUGAGUGUGUGUGAGUGGAUGAGUGUGUGUGAGUGGAUGAGUGUCUGUGAGUGGAUGAGUGUGUGUGAGUGGAGGAGUGUGUGUGAGUGGAUGAGUGUCUGUGAGUGAAUGAGUGUGUGUGAGUGGAUGAGUGUGUGUGAGUGGAUGAGUGUGUGUGAGUGGAUGAGUGUAUGUGAGUGGAGGAGUGUGUGUGAGUGGAUGAGUGUGUGUGAGUGGAUGAGUGUCUGUAAGUGAAUGAGUGUGUGCGAGUGGACGAGUGUGUGCGAGUGAAUGAGUGUUGUGAGUGGAUGAGCGUGUGUGAGUGGAUGAGUGUCUGUGAGUGAAUGAGUGUAUGUGAGUGGAGGAGUGUGUGUGAGUGGGUGAGUGUGUGUGAGUGGAUGAGUGUCUGUAAGUGAAUGAGUGUGUGCGAGUGGACGAGUGUGUGCGAGUGGACGAGUGUAUGCGAGUGAAUGAGUGUUGUGAGUGAAUGAGUGUCUGUGAGUGGAUGACUGUGUGUUAGUUGAUGAGUGUGUGUGAGUGGAUGAGUGAGUGUGUGUGAGUGGGUGAGUGUGUGUGAGUGGAUGAGUGUGUGUGAGUGGAUGAGUGUGUGUGUGUGGAUGAGUGUGUGUGAGUGGAUGAGUGUGUGUGAGUGGAUGAGUGUCUGUAAGUGAAUGAGUGUGUGCGAGUGGACGAGUGUAUGCGAGUGGAUGAGUGUUGUGAGUGAAUGAGUGUCUGUGAGUGGAUGACUGUGUGUUAGUUGAUGAGUGUGUGUGAGUGGAUGAGUGAGUGUGUGUGAGUGGGUGAGUGUGUGUGAGUGGAUGAGUGUGUGUGAGUGGAUGAGUGUGUGUGUGUGGAUGAGUGUGUGUGAGUGGAUG